rnacentral:rRNA from 1 species
UACAGAGGUCUCAAGCGUUGUUCGGAUUCAUUGGGCGUAAAGGGUGCGUAGGUGGCGUGGUAAGUCGGAUGUGAAAUCCCGGGGCUCAACCCCGGAACUGCAUUCGAUACUGCCUUGCUAGAGUACUGGAGAGGAGAUUGGAAUUUACGGUGUAGCAGUGAAAUGCGUAGAUAUCGUAAGGAAGACCAGUGGCGAAGGCGGAUCUCUGGACAGUUACUGACACUGAGGCAGCGAAGGCCAGGGGAGCAAACGGG